AUGGGGGCUCGUCGCUUCCGUCGACACCAGGACGCUGAUCCCGCAACGCCAAGCUCUCCAUCCCCCAAGUCCGAGCGCAUCCGCAAGUUACGCUCUGUUUCGUUUCCAGCUGCCGAUGCGAUUGCACUGUGUCACGUUCUCUCCCCUCCCCUUCCUCCUGACACACCCACCCACCUCCCUCGACUUCGAUCUAGAUCGGGAAGCCCGGGCCGCCCGCCUCUUCCUCUCCCUCCCGACCACAGCGAGCCACCUUCCACGACUAGCAAUCCGAGGAGCUCCGCCUCCCUCUUAUUCUCCCCCACCCCCACUGGCGACGGAGGCGAGGUGAAAAUUCCCCACGAACCGGAGCGCUUGCCUGCCGAUGGAGGUCUCAGCCAGGCUCCGCCCGCCGUCUCCCGCCUCGACGGCGCCGCCCCGCCGUGGCGGAGGGUCCCUGCGGCGGCUGCUCCCUUCGGCCCGGCCCGCCUCCCGAGCGGUCUCCGCCAAGGUGCUUCCCAGUGCGGAGCCUCACCACUCUCCAGCCUCCGCGCCCCUCUCUCCCCUCUCCUCGCAAUGGUGGCCGCGCCUCCCCAGCCCACCGCGCCCGCCCCCGCCCCCGCGAGCGGCGGCGACGCGUUCCACAUGGGCUUCGUCGGCGUGGGGAACCUGGCCGAGAGCAUCGCGCGCGGCGUCGCGGCGUCGGGCGUCCUCCCGGCCUCCGCCGUCCGCACCGCGCCCCACCGCCGGCCUGAGCGCGGCGCCGCCUUCGCCUCCCUUGGCGCCACCAUCCUCGCAUCCAACGCUCAGGUCGGUCCGCCGGCCUCCUGCUCCUCCCCACAUCUGAUUCACCCCGCCUUCCCUCACUCCGCUCGAAGCAGCCAAGCAUCUCUGUCUAUCUGUCACGUGUUCACGCUUGACAGCCACUCCGUAUCUCACGUGAUGUUUUUCCUUCUCGUCGUAGUGAAGCAGGUUCUGGUUGAGCUCAAGCCCUUGUUGUCUGAAGAAAAGCUUCUGGUCUCCAUUGCCGCUGGCAUCAAAAUGAAAGAUUUGCAGUACUAUGAAAUAUCAGAGCUAUUCUGUCAGCGCCUCAACAGCGAUAAAGUUCAGAUCAUGAAUAAUGGCAUUACAAGUGAACUUGGCACAAUUACAUAUGUCCUGAACCUCAUAGAAUCUGACACUAGCAAGUGUUCAUUGGCAUGCAAUUCUAGCCCCCCUAUCUUUAAUUCCUGGCUGCUGGACUACCUGCAGGACAACGAGUUCAUCUGCGGCAGCUAUCGCUGUGAGCAGUCCGUCCACGACGCGCUCCGCAGCAUCUUCGCCGGGCACAACGAGAUCCUCAACGUCUGGAACCACCGCCCUACCUCCCCGCCUAGCGCCGCCGCCGCCGACACCCCCACCUCCCCGCCCAGUGCCGCCGCCGCCACCCCCACCUCCCCCACCGCCGCCACCAUCCACAGCGUCGCCGCCCCUUCAUCACCUAGGACGCAGCACAACGCUGUCUCCCCCUCGCAGCGCCGACGCUCCUUCUGUCACACACGCUGCCGCCCAGCGCCAUCUCCCCUGCAUACCGCAUCCAGAGCGCCGUGCCCCGGCAUCGAUCCCCCAUCCACAGCGCCGUGCUCCUGUAUCCCCCAUCCACUGGUCCACACCCCCAACCAGGGUCGCAUUCCCCAUCGCCACGUCAUUCACGCCUCCGUUGAGCGCCGUACACUCUGCAUCCCCUCCCCUGGGGCCUCUUCUGUAGCUUCUUCUCGAGCUGCUGGUCGUUUCCUCUCACCCCUCACAAACCAUCAGACAAGGCCACUUGAAGAAUCUAGUGUUGUCUUUGAGCACUUAGUAUGCGAUGGGUUCCUGGAAGGGUAUAAGAAAUGGUUAUAUCACGGGGAGGGACCGUCAUGCCUUCCACAACGGUGUGAGCGUGAUGAUUUUCAAAAUGACGAUGUUGGAAAUGAGGACAUAUUUGAGGUACUUGAUGAGAUACCAGAAAUGCUUGAAGAUAUAGGACAUGAAUUUGGUGAAGUUGGGGACGGUGGUGGGAAUGAUGGUGACCUAAGGGAGGAUGGAAGUGAUCCAGAUAUAGAAGCUUUUCACCAAUUAUUAGAUGAUGCAGGCCAACAACUUUAUCCUGGGUGCACAAGCUUCUCAAAGCUACACUUUGUAUUGUACUAUGAGGUGGAUGAAAGAGUUCAAGACUGGGUCAUGGGAAGUGCUGCUAAGAAAUGGAGAGAUUUCAAGUCAGAUUUGAAGGCUUUGUGUUUUCAUGAAGAAAAGACCGACGAGGAGCUCCUUGCUGAUUGUGAUGCUAGAGUUCAUGAAGAUGACUGGAAAUGGCUUAUUGACCAUUGGAGGACUGAUGCAGCUAAGCAACGUAGUGAGAUAGGGAAAUUAAAUCGCCAAGGGAUGACCUUGUUUCAUACAACUGGCAGCAAGAGUCAUGCACGUGUUAUCGAAGAAGAGCAUAAGAAGAAUGGAUACCCCCCACGUAGGGAUGAAGCAUUUGUUAUAACACACACAAGUAAAAAAGGAGUUCCUUCCAACACGGCAGCGGCACAAAAAAUUAAAGAGCUGGAGAACAAAGCAAAUGAACAACCAGAAUUGUUAGAGAAAACCAUAGAGCAAGGUGAUCUUUUUCGCAUGUAUUUGGAAAGGAGAGGAAUGGUGAUUGGUUACAUUGAUCUUCCUGGUCAUCAGCAUAAUGCCUUUGCAAAGUGCGGUUUGUUUGACCUGGUGGAUGUUGUGCUUUUGGCUGUCCUGUUACUGGACUUUGAAGAAAAAUACAGGCAGACUGACUGCCGGGAAAUCUUCCAUCUGCCCUCAAUUGUCAGCCCGCCGGGGAAAAGCUAUACGCCGGUAAUACUGACAACUGCCGGUAAUGGGAUAAAGUGA
rnacentral:rRNA from 1 species